rnacentral:rRNA from 1 species
CAGUCGCCGCGGGAAUACGUAGGGUGCGAGCGUUGUCCGGAUUUAUUGGGCGUAAAGGGCUCGUAGGUGGUUGAUCGCGUCGGAAGUGUAAUCUUGGGGCUUAACCCUGAGCGUGCUUUCGAUACGGGUUGACUUGAGGAAGGUAGGGGAGAAUGGAAUUCCUGGUGGAGCGGUGGAAUGCGCAGAUAUCAGGAGGAACACCAGUGGCGAAGGCGGUUCUCUGGGCCUUUCCUGACGCUGAGGAGCGAAAGCGUGGGGAGCGAACAGGCUUAGAUACCCGAGUAGUCCCUGUCUCUUAUAC